UACGGAAGGCAGCGGUGGGGAAUAUUGCACAAUGGGCGAAAGCCUGAUGCAGCUAUGCCGCGUGUAUGAAGAAGGCCUUAGGGUUGUAAAGUACUUUCAUCGGGGAGGAAAAACAAAACUAAUAAUUUUAUUUCUUGACGUUACCCGAAAAAGAAGCACCGGCUAACUCCGUGCCAGCAGCCGCGGUAAUACGGAGGGUGCUAGCGUUAAUCAGAAUUACUGGGCGUAAAGAGCACGUAGGUGGUUUUUUUAAGUCGGAUGUGAAAUCCCUGGGCUUAACCUAGGAACUGCAUUUUGAAACUGAAAUACUAGAGUAUCGUAGAGGGAGGUAGAAUUCUAGGUGUAGCGGUGAAAUGCGUAGAUAUCUGGAGGAAUACCUGUGGCGAAAGCGGCCUCCUAAACGAAUACUGACACUGAGGGUGCGAAAGCGUGGGGAGCAAACAGGGAUUAGAUACC
rnacentral:rRNA from 1 species